AUUGAACGCUGGCGGCAGGCCUAACACAUGCAAGUCGAACGAGUGGCGGACGGGUGAGUAAUGUCUGGGAAACUGCCCGAUGGAGGGGGAUAACUACUGGAAACGGUAGCUAAUACCGCAUACCAUCAGAUGUGCCCAGAUGGGAUUAGCUAGUUGGUGGGGUAACGGCUCACCAAGGCGACGAUCCCUAGCUGGUCUGAGAGGAUGACCACCCACUCUGGAACUGAUAAACGGUCCCGACGCCUACGGGAGGCAGCAGUGGGUAAUAUUGCACAAUGGGCGCAAGCCUGAUGCGGCCAUGCCGCGUGUUUGAAGAAGGCCUUCGGGUUGUAAGGUACUUUCAGCGGGGAGGCGUUACCCGCAGAAGAAGCACCGGCUAACUCCGUGCCAGCAGCCGCGUAAUAC
rnacentral:rRNA from 1 species